rnacentral:rRNA from 1 species
GCCUACGGGAGGCAGCAGUGGGGAAUAUUGGACAAUGGGCGCAAGCCUGAUCCAGCCAUGCCGCGUGAGUGAUGAAGGCCCUAGGGUUGUAAAGCUCUUUUGUGCGGGAAGAUAAUGACGGUACCGCAAGAAUAAGCCCCGGCUAACUUCGUGCCAGCAGCCGCGGUAAU